ensembl:lncRNA
AUGAAAAUGAAAUUCGUUUUCCUCUUCGUCUUGGCAUUCUCAGUCACUGUGUGUGUUGCUGAGCUGAAGUUGGAGGCAACUGAUGGUGAUAAUGUUACUAUACCCUUCAAAACUGCUGAACUGGAGAGAGCCGACCGAGUGAGGAUAACUUUUACAAGAGACAAUCAGAAAAAGUUGAUUGCGCAGUACUGUCGCUGUGCUGAUUGUGGAGACUGUAUUGUUGUGGAAACACCGGGAGUCUUACUGCGAAUUGAAGAAGGAACUGCGUCCUUGAUUCUUCAAGAUGUCAGCUCCAGAAGCUCAGGCCUUUAUAAAGCACAAGUCUUCAAUGGAAAGCAUGUGUCUGAGAUACAAGCUACACUUGUUGUCAAAGAACCAGCAUUGUCCUCCACCAAAGAGCCACCACAGACCUCCACCCCAAAACCUCCCGACACCUCUGGACACCUGUGGCUGUGUGCUUUACUGAUUCUUCCAGUCAUCCUGGGUGUGGUUGUUUAUUGUUUCUGGAGGAAGAAAUGCAGGAGGGCAAGUAUUGUUUAUUCUUUUAUGAAUGGAAAUGAUCUGGGACUGCAUUCACCAAAUAUUAUGAGGCUAAAAUUUGCUCCUAAUUCUGAAAUGUUGUUCUUAAUUGUAGAACUCAUAUAUUUUAUAUCUAAGAGUUAUUCCCCAUGUAUUAAAAAAAGUAGAUUUAAGACAAAGUACAUUUUUCUAAUUCUGUUUGAUUAUGAUGUUCAUGUUUGGAGCAAGUAGAUGAAGGUUAAUCCAAGUUUAUUGUAAAACUCAAACCAGGAGCAGAAGGAUUGCCUGUUUAUAAACCAGUUUAAGAAUAAUGUGGUACAUCUAAAAAUAAUAAUUAGUAAAUUAUUUCCAUGUUUUGUUGUUCCAAAUAAUGUUAAAAGAGUCUGGUUUAAAUGUAUACGCCUGAAAUGUAUAAAUUUAGCUUUGUCUUCAGCACCUUUAUACAGUAUCUGAUUUGGUUUGCAUCUAGUAAUUGUUUUGUGUGUUGACUGUCAGGAACGUGAGGCAUUACCUGAUGCUGAAGAAGCCAGAGAAACCCCUGCUGUCUCCAGGUAUGAAGCUCCUCACUGAUCUGGGGAUUUCCUCGGGUCU